AUUGGGGGCCCUGUGAUCCAUGCAAUAGCUGACUGUGAGCAUGCACUUAUGUGUUCUUUACCACUAAGCUUCCAGUGGCUCCAGAGUCUUUGACUUGUGAACACACCACUCUGGUUUUUAUUGCCCCUCUUCUGUCUGAGAUCUCCCUCUACCUUCCUUAAAUUUGAUUGCAUUUAGUAUUGAACAGAUAAUGUAGAAUAUAGUAUUUCUCUUAAAGUCUUUAAUUUAAAUAUACUUUUUUUUGCUACAAUACUGAUAUUCACUCUUUUGUUGCAUAUGGAAAUGUUUAUGGGUUUCGAAGCUUCAGGGACCCACGUUCAGCACACCACAAAAGGUAAAGCUUACCUUUCUCCUGUUAUAAUCCCAGGAAAAACAGUAUCCUAGUGUAAAGUUAGCCUAAAAAUGUAAUGUGUACUUUAUGUUUAUGUUGGUAACAGGGUAUAGCGAGGAUUGUGGAUGGGGGCUCUAGAAAUAGCCUGCAGAGGCUUGGACCUUCUGUUUCCAUGAUAAAACUCUAGGGAAUUGUGUCAUCCACCAGUGGGAGGCCUGCUUACUGCAGCAGGUAGAAGACUGAAUUAUGAACACAGCACAGAGUACCAUGUUCAAUGUCUGGCAUGAGAGACACCGUGAUCACCAUCAGUAUUGUCUUCAGAUCAUUGUGAGGGAAGUAGGUGCUCUCACACAACUGAGUGUGUCUCUGAAAAAGGUAAAGAACUUGAGACCAGACCAGGGAAAACCCUUGGAAACCCAUCUCACCAUUCUGCUUUUCACCAAAUCAUAAAAAAGCUGGCUGGCUAUUUCAGGAACUGAAUUGUUCUCAAACAUCACAGGUCUUAAAGACUCUUGUGCCACAUUUAUUCUUCAGAAGUUAUAAUGUGCCUGUUUGUUUCAACAAAGCUUCAUUUAAAAACACUUUAGCAUGUGCAAAAAAAAAUAUCUACUGGGACUUACAAGUGCCAAUUUUAAAGUUGUAUGGAGGACAAAGAACUAUUUGACCAAAUAAGUGUGGGCUCUGAAUGUGCCCAGAUAUUCCAUUUAAGGAUCCAGUAGAGAUAUCUAUCAACACCCAUGGCUUUGCUUGCAGUGGGAUAAGGCAGGAGUCACCAUAGGCUUCACAAAAAUCGCCACAGUAUCAUGUCAGAAUUUUGGAUUAAAGAUUACAAUGUAACUUAACACAGUAAAGAAUCUGGUAUGUGUCUCAGUUUCUUUUCUUGUUGCAGUGGUAAGGUACUCUGAACAAAGCAACUUAAGGGAGAAUGUUUAUUCUGCCUCAAAGUUCAAGAGUGUGUUCCGCUGUGGCAGGGAAGUCAAGCAGGCAGGGCCUUAAAAGAAGCUGGCCACCUCACAUUCACAAUGGGAACAGAUGGCUUUUUUUAUACAGUCCACGAUCUCAGCUGAAGAGGGAAUUUCUGGUUUCUUUGGAGACUCAGUUGUGUCAUAUGAUGUUUUUCUGGAAGCUGUCUUAUGAGAGGAUGUUUUGCUGAGAAUAGACACGUGGUGUUUCUCUGCAAGCUGCCUGGUGAAAGGGCAUGUGAUGUCUUGCUGGAGUACACACUUGAGAGGACGUUUGGAAAGAGUGGAGAAGCACACCAAAGAACAUCUGGUGGGGUUCCAGCUGCUUCUUGCUGCUUCAGCAGACUUGUGAGGGAGCCUCACAGUUUCUUCUGGAUUGAGCCACUGAUGCUGAUUCGAGUAAACCAGAUUGCUGACAACAGAGAUUGGAAUCACCAAAAGAACUAUUUCUAAACAGAAUAGUGGAAGGACAGAAAAAUGGGCAGGAGACACAGAUACACAGAUGAGUGACAGACAACAGGUAGGUAAUAAAUAAAUCGAUGAUAGAUGAUAAAUAACAGAUGAUAGGUAAUAGGUAUAUAUGUAAUAGGGAGAUGAUAGACAUCCUACCAUUACAUACAUCAAAAUGGAACUUAUUAAUAAUACCUCUUUGUCCUAGAACCAACUCAUCUUAAUGGCAGGUUUUAAAUCACAGAUGCUUCUGCUCUGACAUCCUUCAGUUUUGCACCCAAAAGGAAUAUAUCUGAGUUCAUAUCAUGUGUGUUCUUUUGUGACUGGGUUACUUCACUCAAGAUGAUAUCCUCCAUCCAU